AGCGAACGUUAGCGGCGCGCCUAACACACGCAAGUCGCACGAGAAAGGGAGCAAUCCCCGGUACAGUGGCGCACGGGUGAGUAACACGUAGAUGACCUUCCCUGGAGUGGUGGAUAACCUGCCGAAAGGCGGGCUAAUACAGCAUGGGACCACAUGGUUUUGACCGAGUGGUGAAAGCGGGCCUCUGUUCACAAGCUCGCGCUCUGGGAUGGGUCUGCGUCCCAUCAGCUAGUUGGUGAGGUAAUGGCUCACCAAGGCAUCGACGGGUAGCUGGUCUGAGAGGAUGACCAGCCACACUGGAACUGAGACACGGUCCAGACUCCUACGGGAGGCAGCAGUGGGGAAUCUUGCGCAAUGGGCGAAAGCCUGAUCCAGCCAUGCCGCGUGAGUGAAGAAGGCCUCGGUU
rnacentral:rRNA from 1 species